UACGGGGGGGAGCAAGCGUUGUUCGGAUUUACUGGGCGUAAAGGGCGCGUAGGCGGUAGCACAAGUCAGUUGUGAAAUCUCCGGGCUUAACUCGGAAAGGUCAACUGAUACUGUGCGACUAGAGUGCAGAAGGGGCAACUGGAAUUCUCGGUGUAGCGGUGAAAUGCGUAGAUAUCUGGAGGAACACCGGUGGCGAAGGCGGCAUCCUGGACCGGCAUUGACGCUGAGGCGCGAAAGCCAGGGGAGCAAACGGG
rnacentral:rRNA from 1 species